GGGUGGGCCUUGUUUCUGAGGAAAUAAAGAGGCCCUGGAACCUCCCCAGCGAGUGAAAGAAUGAUUUCCAGAUACUCCAGUGGAGUGGCCUCCUGGCGGCCUGAGCUGGACGUGCUUGGCAGUGUUUCCAUCCGGCUGGCCAGUGUCCUGAGGUUAGCGAAGCAGAAGGAGAAGCUUAGGGGAGCUCAAAGACAUGCACGUGCCAGUAUUUUUGAUAAAUGCUCAGUUAAUUGUUUUCUAUGAUUCUUCUCCUGAGACACAUACUGUGCACACCAGGCACCAAGAACUAUCCCCUCCCAUCACCCCAGAUCCCAGGGGGAACUCCAUAAUGACAUAUAUUUGGGCCAAGCAUCUACCCCACAGGAAAUGGAUGGAUCAGCCCCUGGAGAUGAAAGAAUGAUGCAGGGCAUGGGAAAGCAGAGAAAUAUCCUGAGUGAGAAAGAAAGAAAAUCCACACAAGCAAAGCUGGAGAGUUUAUAUAUUUAAUACCGAUAAGAGAAACUCAGAAUUUCUUAUAAAGAUACUAAGAAAUGGUGGUCAGAAGAGGCCUGGGACAGACGAAAUUCACCAAAGUCUCUACCACAGACAUUCUCAGAUGGUGCUAAUAAAAAGAAGAAACCCAAACCAGAAUUGGUGGUCCACAUUGUGAGUUGCUAAAUAUCAUCACAAAGCAAUAAUUAUCCUAUGGCAUGCUUGGUGGCUCAACAUUCUGAAAUGUAAAUGUCAAGGGCAGAUAGUCUCAACGAUGUUGCUAAUGGGAGCUCA